GACGUAGGGGGCGAGCGUUGUCCGGAUUCACUGGGCGUAAAGCGCGUGCAGGCGGCCUGUUAAGUCCCGUGUGAAAGCCCUCGGCUCAACCGGGGGAGGUCGCGGGAUACUGGCGGGCUUGAGGGCGGCAGAGGGUGGUGGAAUUCCCGGUGUAGCGGUGAAAUGCGUAGAUAUCGGGAGGAACGCCAGUGGCGAAGGCGGCCACCUGGGCCGUCCCUGACGCUGAGACGCGAAAGCUGGGGGAGCGAACGGG
rnacentral:rRNA from 1 species